GACGAACGCUGGCGGCGUGCUUAACACAUGCAAGUCGAACGGAAAGGCCCUGCUUUUGUGGGGUGCUCGAGUGGCGAACGGGUGAGUAACACGUGAGUAACCUGCCCUUGACUUUGGGAUAACUUCAGGAAACUGGGGCUAAUACCGGAUAGGAGCUCCUGCUGCAUGGUGGGGGUUGGAAAGAUUCGGCGGUUGGGGAUGGAAUAGCGGCUUAUCAGCUUGUUGGUGGGGUAGUGGCUUACCAAGGCUUUGACGGGUAGCCGGCCUGAGAGGGUGACCGGCCACAUUGGGACUGAGAUACGGCCCAGACUCCUACGGGAGGCAGCAGUGGGGAAUAUUGCACAAUGGGCGGAAGCCUGAUGCAGCAACGCCGCGUGCGGGAUGACGGCCUUCGGGUUGUAAACCGCUUUCGCCUGCGACGAAGCGUGAGUGACGGUAAUGGGUAAAGAAGCACCGGCUAACUACGUG
rnacentral:rRNA from 1 species